rnacentral:piRNA from 1 species
GUUUCAUUCUUCUUACGAACA